rnacentral:rRNA from 1 species
AUUGAACGCUGGCGGCAGGCUUAACACAUGCAAGUCGAGCGGGGUGAUGGUGCUUGCACUAUCACUUAGCGGCGGACGGGUGAGUAAUGCUUAGGAAUCUGCCUAUUAGUGGGGGACAACAUCUCGAAAGGGAUGCUAAUACCGCAUACGUCCUACGGGAGAAAGCAGGGGACCACUUGUGACCUUGCGCUAAUAGAUGAGCCUAAGUCGGAUUAGCUAGUUGGUGGGGUAAAGGCCUACCAAGGCGACGAUCUGUAGCGGGUCUGAGAGGAUGAUCCGCCACACUGGGACUGAGACACGGCCCAGACUCCUACGGGAGGCAGCAGUGGGGAAUAUUGGACAAUGGGGGGAACCCUGAUCCAGCCAUGCUGCGUGUGUGAAGAAGGCCUUAUGGUUGUAAAGCACUUUAAGCGAGGAGGAGGCUCUUUUGGUUAAUACCCAAGAUGAGUGGACGUUACUCGCAGAAUAAGCACCGGCUAACUCUGUGCCAGCAGCCGCCGUAA